AUUGAACGCUGGCGGCAGGCCUAACACAUGCAAGUCGAGCGGAUGAAGGGAGCUUGCUCCUGGAUUCAGCGGCGGACGGGUGAGUAAUGCCUAGGAAUCUGCCUGGUAGUGGGGGAUAACGUCCGUAAACGGGCGCUAAUACCGCAUACGUCCUGAGGGAGAAAGUGGGGGAUCUUCGGACCUCACGCUAUCAGAUGAGCCUAGUUCGGAUUAGCUAGUUGGUGGGGUAAAGGCCUACCAAGGCGACGAUCCGUAACUGGUCUGAGAGGAUGAUCAGUCACACUGGAACUGAGACACGGUCCAGACUCCUACGGGAGGCAGCAGUGGGGAAUAUUGGACAAUGGGCGAAAGCCUGAUCCAGCCAUGCCGCGUGUGUGAAGAAGGUCUUCGGAUUGUAAAGCACUUUAAGUUGGGAGGAAGGUCAGUAAGUUAAUACCUUGCUGUUUUGACGUUACCAAAAGAAUAAGCACCGGCUAACUUCGUG
rnacentral:rRNA from 1 species